rnacentral:rRNA from 1 species
CAGAGUUUGAUCCUGGCUCAGAUUGAACGCUGGCGGCAGGCCUAACACAUGCAAGUCGAGCGGAAACGACACUAACAAUCCUUCGGGUGCGUUAAUGGGCGUCGAGCGGCGGACGGGUGAGUAAUGCCUAGGAAAUUGCCUUGAUGUGGGGGAUAACCAUUGGAAACGAUGGCUAAUACCGCAUAAUGCCUACGGGCCAAAGAGGGGGACCUUCGGGCCUCUCGCGUCAAGAUAUGCCUAGGUGGGAUUAGCUAGUUGGUGAGGUAAUGGCUCACCAAGGCGACGAUCCCUAGCUGGUCUGAGAGGAUGAUCAGCCACACUGGAAAC